UACGUAGGGUGCGAGCGUUGUCCGGAAUUAUUGGGCGUAAAGAGCUCGUAGGCGGUUUGUCGCGUCGGCCGUGAAAACUUGGGGCUUAACUCCAAGCUUGCGGUCGAUACGGGCAGACUUGAGUUCGGCAGGGGAGACUGGAAUUCCUGGUGUAGCGGUGAAAUGCGCAGAUAUCAGGAGGAACACCGACGGCGUAGGCAGCGCCCUAGACGAGACCUGACGCUCAGGCACGAAAGCGCGGGGAGCGGACAGG
rnacentral:rRNA from 1 species